UACGGAGGGGGCUAGCGUUGUUCGGAAUUACUGGGCGUAAAGCGCACGUAGGUGGACAGUUAAGUCAGGGGUGAAAGCCCGAGGCUCAACCUCGGAAUUGUCUCUGAUACUGGCUGUCUCGAGGUCGAGAGAGGUGGGUGGAAUUCCUAGUGUAGAGGUGAAAUUCGUAGAUAUUAGGAAGAACACCGGUGGCGAAGGCGGCCCACUGGCUCGGUACUGACACUGAGGUGCGAAAGCGUGGGGAGCAAACAGG
rnacentral:rRNA from 1 species